GACGAACGCUGGCGGCGUGCCUAAUACAUGCAAGUAGAACGCUGAAGGAGGAGCUUGCUUCUCCGGAUGAGUUGCGAACGGGUGAGUAACGCGUAGGUAACCUGCCUGGUAGCGGGGGAUAGCUAUUGGAAACGAUAGCUAAUACCGCAUAAGAGUAGAUGUUGCAUGACAUUUGCUUAAAAGGUGCAAUUGCAUCACUACCAGAUGGACCUGCGUUGUAUUAGCUAGUUGGUGGGGUAACGGCUCACCAAGGCGACGAUACAUAGCCGACCUGAGAGGGUGAUCGGCCACACUGGGACUGAGACACGGCCCAGACUCCUACGGGAGGCAGCAGUAGGGAAUCUUCGGCAAUGGACGGAAGUCUGACCGAGCAACGCCGCGUGAGUGAAGAAGGUUUUCGGAUCGUAAAGCUCUGUUGUAAGAGAAGAACGAGUGUGAGAGUGGAAAGUUCACACUGUGACGGUAUCUUACCAGAAAGGGACGGCUAACUACGUGCCAGCAGCCGCGGUAAUACGUAGGUCCCGAGCGUUGUCCGGAUUUAUUGGGCGUAAAGCGAGCGCAGGCGGUUAGAUAAGUCUGAAGUUAAAGGCUGUGGCUUAACCAUAGUACGCUUUGGAAACUGUUUAACUUGAGUGCAAGAGGGGAGAGUGGAAUUCCAUGUGUAGCGGUGAAAUGCGUAGAUAUAUGGAGGAACACCGGUGGCGAAAGCGGCUCUCUGGCUUGUAACUGACGCUGAGGCUCGAAAGCGUGGGGAGCAAACAGG
rnacentral:rRNA from 1 species